CAGCAGCAAAGUGAAGACCUCUCUACCUCCCUCUCCAUUAAUUCCUCACUGGCAUGUUCAGGAUCUUGGCCUCACUCCAGUUCAAGGAGAUUGGAACCACCUGGACCAUCUGGAUAUCCCACAGAAGACCACACUGACCCAUUAUUACACUGAUGAUAUCAUGCUGAUUGGGCAAGACAAGCAAGAGGAAGGAAGGCCCACAGAAGUUGCUGUGUGAACAUGUGUGGAGAUGUGAAUCCAUAUAGCUCAAAGGGUGGACUGUGACACAUAUGAGGCCCAACAGCUUAAAUGGGCUGGGAGGCCAACGAGGUUCGAAACUCAGAG
rnacentral:lncRNA from 1 species